CGUGCGGCUAGGGAGAUAGAGAAUUAUAAUUAUUGGAAUUCACUGUUUAUCAGGAUUUAUCUCCUAGCUCCUGUAUCUGAUACUGGUUGGCUGAUCGAAUUGAUGGUAUAGUUGGGAAUCAGUAUAAGUAGUUUGUUUUAUCAGAUUUGAAGCAGCCUGAAGAGAAUACCAAUUGGGAAUUUGAUUAGUGUAUAUAGUUAGGAAACAACGUCGAAUUAGAAUAUUAGGAUGGUAGUCAUAAGUUUGAGUUUAGAACAUUGCGGACGAGUUGCAAGCUAUAACAUCUAGGUAAGAAUUAGGUAUCUCUUAAG